AGUGUUUAACGGCCGCGGUAUCUUAACCGCGCGAAGGUAGCGUAAUCACUUGUCUUUUAAAUGGAGACCUGUAUGAAUGGCAUAACGAGGGUUUAACUGUCUCCUCCCCCCAGUCAAUGAAAUUGAUCUAUCCGUGCAGAAGCGGACAUGAUAACAUAAGACGAGAAGACCCUAUGGAGCUUUAGGCAAAUGAUCAAGUAGACCAAGCCCCCUUUACAAGCCCGGGAAAACAUGACACCAGUGAUCAACACGCCUUCGGUUGGGGCGACCGCGGAGGAUAAAACAGCCUCCGAGUGGAAUGGGAAAACCCUUAAGCUAAGAAAAACAAGUCUAGGCAUCAAAAAAUUUGACCAAACAUGACCCAGGAGAACCCUGAUUGACGAACCAAGUUACCCUAGGGAUAACAGCGCAAUCCCCUCCCAGAGUCCAUAUCGACGAGGGGGUUUACGACCUCGAUGUUGGAUCAGGGCUUCCUAAUGGUGCAGCCGCUAUUAAGGGUUCGUUUGUUCAACGAUUAACA
rnacentral:rRNA from 1 species